GUAGCUCAGUGGGAGGGCAUUUGCUUUGCAUGCAGAAGGUUCCAGGUUCAAUCCCCAGCAUUCCCA